rnacentral:rRNA from 1 species
GACGAACGCUGGCGGCGUGCCUAAUACAUGCAAGUCGAGCGGACGAAUCGAAAGCUUGCUUUUGAUUCGUUAGCGGCGGACGGGUGAGUAACACGUGGGCAACCUGCCCUGUAGACGGGGAUAACACCGAGAAAUCGGUGCUAAUACCGGAUAACACGAAAUGUCGCAUGACGUUUCGUUUAAAGACGGCGCAAGCUGCCGCUACAGGAUGGGCCCGCGGCGCAUUAGCUAGUUGGUGAGGUAACGGCUCACCAAGGCGACGAUACGUAGCCGACCUGAGGGGGUGAUCGGCCACACUGGGACUGAGACACGGCCCAGACUCCUACGGGAGGCAGCAGUAGGGAAUCUUCCGCAAUGGACGAAAGUCUGACGGAGCAACGCCGCGUGAGCGAAGAAGGCCUUCGGGUCGUAAAGCUCUGUUGUUAGGGAAGAACAAGUAACGCAGUAACUGGCGUUACCGUGACGGUACCUAACGAGAAAGCCACGGCUAACUACGUG